UCCCAGUUAACCUGGGCAGUCUCAUUAGAGUCCCCACCUUAAAUGUUGGCAACUAAUGAUAAGGGUUGCGCUCGUUGCGGGACUUAACCCAACACCUCACGGCACGAGCUGACGACAGCCAUGCAGCACCUAUACAGAAGUCCUUACGGAAAAUGUCAUUUCUGACAUCGCCCUCUGCAUUUCGAGCCUGGGUAAGGUUCUUCGCGUUGCAUCGAAUUAAACCACAUGCUCCACUGCUUGUGCGGGCCCCCGUCAAUUCUUUUGAGUUUCACCCUUGCGAGCGUACUCCUCAGGCGGUAUACUUAUCGCGUUCGCUUCGACACAGUCAGGGUUGAGCCUAACUACAUCAAGUAUACAUCGUUUACGGCAAGGACUAC
rnacentral:misc_RNA from 1 species